rnacentral:rRNA from 1 species
UGGGGAAUUUUGGACAAUGGGCGAAAGCCUGAUCCAGCAAUGCCGCGUGUGUGAAGAAGGCCUUCGGGUUGUAAAGCACUUUUGUCCGGAAAGAAAUCCUUGGCUCUAAUACAGUCGGGGGAUGACGGUACCGGAAGAAUAAGCACCGGCUAACUACGUGCCAGCAGCCGCGGUAAUACGUAGGGUGCAAGCGUUAAUCGGAAUUACUGGGCGUAAAGCGUGCGCAGGCGGUUUGCUAAGACCGAUGUGAAAUCCCCGGGCUCAACCUGGGAACUGCAUUGGUGACUGGCAGGCUAGAGUAUGGCAGGAGGGGGGUAGAAUUCCACGUGUAGCAGUGAAAUGCGUAGAGAUGUGGAGGAAUACCGAUGGCGAAGGCAGCCCCCUGGGCCAAUACUGACGCUCAUGCACGAAAGCGUGGGGAGCAAAACAGGAUUAGAUACCCUGGUAGUCCACGCCCUAAACGAUGUCAACUAGUUGUUGGGGAUUCAUUUCCUUAGUAACGUAGCUAACGCGUGAAGUUGACCGCCUGGGGAGUACGGUCGCAAGAUUAAAACUCAAAUGAAUUGACGGGGUCAUAGCUGUUUCCU